AGCCAAGCCAGCCAUCCAGCCAAGCCUGC
rnacentral:piRNA from 1 species